GCACAACGCGAAGAACCUUACCAAGGCUUGACAUCCCCUUGACCGGCACAGAGAUGUGCCCUCUCCUUCGGGAGCAAGGGUGACAGGUGGUGCAUGGUUGUCGUCAGCUCGUGUCGUGAGAUGUUGGGUUAAGUCCCGCAAUGAGCGCAACCCUUAUCCUUAGUUGCCAGCAUUAAUGGUGGGCACUCUAAGGAGACUGCCGAUGAUAAAUCGGAGGAAGGUGGGGAUGACGUCAAAUCAUCAUGCCCCUUAUGUCUUGGGCUACACACGUGCUACAAUGGUCGGUACAACGGGCAGCGAAGGAGCGAUCCGGAGCGAAUCCCAAUAAACCGAUCCCAGUUCGGAUUGUAGGCUGCAACUCGCCUACAUGAAGUCGGAGUUGCUAGUAAUCGCGAAUCAGAACGUCGCGGUGAAUGCGUUCCCGGGUCUUGUACACACCG
rnacentral:rRNA from 1 species